GAGUUUGAUCCUGGCUCAGGACGAACGCUGGCGGCGCGCCUAACACAUGCAAGUCGAACGAGAGAGAGGAAGCUUGCUUCCUCAAUCGAGUGGCGAACGGGUGAGUAACGCGUGAGGAACCUGCCUCAAAGAGGGGGACAACAGUUGGAAACGACUGCUAAUACCGCAUAAGCCCACAGCUCGGCAUCGAGCAGAGGGAAAAGGAGCAAUCCGCUUUGAGAUGGCCUCGCGUCCGAUUAGCUGGUUGGUGAGGUAAUGGCCCACCAAGGCGACGAUCGGUAGCCGGACUGAGAGGUUGAACGGCCACAUUGGGACUGAGACACGGCCCAGACUCCUACGGGAGGCAGCAGUGGGGAAUAUUGCACAAUGGGGGAAACCCUGAUGCAGCGACGCCGCGUGGAGGAAGAAGGUCUUCGGAUUGUAAACUCCUGUUGUUGAGGAAGAUAAUGACGGUACUCAACAAGGAAGUGACGGCUAACUACGUGCCAGCAGCCGCGGUAAAACGUAGGUCACAAGCGUUGUCCGGAAUUACUGGGUGUAAAGGGAGCGCAGGCGGGAAGACAAGUUGGAAGUGAAAUCUAUGGGCUCAACCCAUAAACUGCUUUCAAAACUGUUUUUCUUGAGUAGUGCAGAGGUAGGCGGAAUUCCCGGUGUAGCGGUGGAAUGCGUAGAUAUCGGGAGGAACACAGUGGCGAAGGCGGCCUACUGGGCACCAACUGACGCUGAGGCUCGAAAGUGUGGGUAGCAAACAGGAUUAGAUACCGUGUAAGUCCACACGGUAAACGAUGAGUAGUAGGUGUUGGAGGAUUGACCCCUUCAGUGCCGCAGUUAACACGAUAAGUAAUCCACCUGGGGAGUACGACCGCAAGGUUGAGACUCAAAGGAAUUGACGGGGGCCCGCACAAGCAGUGGAGUAUGUGGUAUAAUUCGACGCAACGCGAAGAACCAUACCAAGUGUGGACAUCCCUUGACGAACAUAGAAAUAUGGUUUCUCUUCGGAGCAAGGAGACAGGUGGUGCAUGGUUGUCGUCAGCUCGUGUCGUGAGAUGUUGGGUUAAGUCCCGCAACGAGCGCAACCCUUACUGUCAGUUACUACGCAAGAGGACUCUGGCAGGACUGCCGUUGACAAAACGGAGGAAGGUGGGGAUGACGUCAAAUCAUCAUGCCCUUUAUGACUUGGGCUACACGCGUACUACAAUGGCGUUAAACAAAGAGAAGCAAGACCGCGAGGUGGAGCAAAACUCAGAAACCACCUCCCAGUUCGGACUGCAGGCUGCAACUCGCCUGCACGAAGUCGGAAUUGCUAGUAAUCGUGGAUCAGCACGCCACGGUGAAUACGUUCCCGGGCCUUGACACACCGCCCGUC
rnacentral:rRNA from 1 species